UAAACAUUGAUAACACUUUACAUUUGUUAUCCGCCAGGGAACUACAAGCAUCAGCUUAAAACCCAAAGGACUUGGCGACGCUUAAGAUCCGCCUAGAGGAGCCUGUUCUAGAACCGAUAACCCCCGUUUAACCUCACCUUCUCUUGUUUAACCCGCCUAUAUACCGCCGUCGUCAGCCUACCCUGUGAAGGAUUAAUAGUAAGCUUAAUUGGCAUAGCCCAAAAUGUCAGGUCGAGGUGUAGCGUAUGAGAAGGGAAGAAAUAGGCUACAUUCAUUAAUAUAAUGAACACGGAUGAUGUGAUGAAAUAGACAUCUAAAGGAGGAUUUAGCAGUAAGCAGAAAUUAGAAUGUUCCGCUGAAACUGGCUCUAAAGCACGCACACACCGCCCGUCACUCUCCCCAAACACCACAGUUACUUAUAAUUAAUACUACAAAAACGUAAUAGGGGAGGCAAGUCGUAACAUGGUAAGUGUACCGGAAGGUGCACUUGGAUAAAU
rnacentral:rRNA from 1 species